UACGUAGGGGGCAAGCGUUGUCCGGAUUUACUGGGCGUAAAGAGCGUGUAGGCGGCCACGCAGGUCCGUUGUGAAAACUGGAGGCUCAACUUCCAGCCGUCGACGGAAACCGUGUGGCUAGAGUCCGGAAGAGGAGAGUGGAAUUCCUGGUGUAGCGGUGAAAUGCGCAGAUAUCAGGAAGAACACCAAUGGCGAAGGUAGCUCUCUGGGACGGUACUGACGCUGAGACGCGAAAGCGUGGGGAGCGAACAGG
rnacentral:rRNA from 1 species